UUUAUAGGGUUCUGAGGGUUUUGAAGCACAGAUCAACCACUGCCUGGAAAAUGCAGAGUAUCUUUACUACAAACUGAAGAGGAGAACAGACUUUCAGCUUGUCUUCAAAGGAAAGCCCGAACACAGUAAUGUCUGCUUUUGGUAUCUCCCAAAACGACUGCAAAGCAUUCUUCCAAGCCCAGAGCGAGACAGAGAACUUCAUAUGGUGGCUCCAAAAAUCAA